AAGGUAAGAGACAGCUUACUACCGUUUAUAUUGUCUUUAGGUAACUGGUAUAUAAUAAUGAUCAACCAGUUUACUACCGUUUAUAUCUGUUUUAUAGAGAAUACAUCUUAAUGUUUGUUGCAACUUAUAAUGUAAUAAAGACUCAUAAUGUAUUAACGGCUCAUAAUGUAAUCAUUUCAAUGUAUUAAAAGUUCAUAAUGUUAUAAUCGGCUCAUAAUGUAAUAAAAUCACGGACGCAUAACGUUAUAAGGGCUUUGCGCAUAAUGUAAUACUGUAAUAACUUAUUACAUUAAGAACCUUAUUGAUACCGCUCAUAAUGUUAUAACAGUUCAUAAUGUGAUAAUAGUACAUAUAGUGAGAAAAGUGUUGCAUUAUCAUAAUGCUUACUUCUGCCAUCCCUGCAGGAGUGGAAGGAAAUGCUUAAACCUGUGUCUGUCUCUCAGCAAGAUCACACAUUUCUGCAAACAUGCUGGAGCAUUAGCCAACUUAGAUGCCAUAUACUGAACCUCGCUCCCAAUAAGUGGCAGGCCUCAUAAAAAGGAAGAGAAGCCUUAUUCUUUAACGCAUCAUCCUCCAUAGGUAAAAUCCAUGGUAUAAAGGCAACAACUGUAAACACUGACAACUAAUGCACUUUUGGGCAGGGGUUUGUUAUUGAGUUUGACUAUGAUUUGUACAUAUGUUGCGCUACAGUAACCAACUCAAAAGCUGUCAGGAGAAGAGGUUGGAUUAGGGAAGAAGGAGGGGGACUGUAGUUCAUGUAUUUUAAUGUUCUUUGCUACAAUAACAUAACUACUGCAAUGAAAACACAUUUAAAAUGUUACUUUUCAAAAAAGUAAGUGAACACUCUUUCCUUCCAUACAACCUUACGAAGACCUUCCAAUAAAAACGUAGCAGUUUUUUUUUAUGGUCUUUAAUGCCAAUUUAAUAAAGGCAAUUUAAUAAACAUUAUUUUCCUACUACUUGAAAUACAUGAUACAAGCUGCAUAACAUGUCAAUUAAAACUUAUUUUAUUUUGGAACUUUUGAACAAUAACAAAAAAGUCAUCAAAAACUAUGUGAGUCUAGAACAGACAUAGGGAUGUCAUAGAAAACAUGAAACAGAUCAAAGGCUCUUUAAAUGUAAACACAGCCUGUCAGAACACAAAAGUAAAAAUAUAAGUCCAAAUAAAUGUAACUAAACAAUAUGCCUAUAAACAUGAUCAUAAAUUACAGCAAAUUAUAGUCAUAAAAUAAAGUCAAGGGGGCUCCAUUUGUCAGUGGUCAGUGACUGUGCCAGUGAUCACUCAAAUCACUUUAUUUCUUCCAAUGAAUGUCUUUAAUUUGGAACCAUCCAAAGGAUAUAUAUGUCGAAUCACGAUCCAUGCUGUAAUCCACCUGGCAUUUUGGCUGAAGAGCUGCCUGAUGUUGGAUGCAAGGCCACUAUUACGUCCAGCUGCUUUAUAUAACCUACAAAUACUAAUGCUGCAGUCUUCAUCCAUCACAAUAUUUAAACAUUCCACCAAAGAAUCACGUAUAAUUUUUUUUGGUAGGAAUGGCAGGGUUAGCUCUCUGAACAAGUUGGAAACUCUGUUGAAGGUGCCCAGCAUUGUCAUAUCCAUCAACAGGCAAUACUGGAUAAUGGUUGACAGUACAAUCAAAGGCAAAUUAGGGCUAGCAAUGAAGUCAGGGUCAGCAAGGAAGAUAUGUUUUGGCACUGUAGGACAUGCAGAAGGAACAGUAUCAGGGUCAGUGUAACGGACAGUGUGGAGGUCACCAUGUAGGACAUCAUUGGGAUCACCAUAAGGAACAUCACAUGAGUCACCAUGUAGGACAUCAUUGGGAUCACCAUAAGGAACAUCACAUGAGUCACCAUGUAGGACAUCAUUGGAAUCACCAUAAGGAACAU